rnacentral:rRNA from 1 species
UACGUAGGGUGCAAGCGUUGUCCGGAAUUAUUGGGCGUAAAGAGCUCGUAGGCGGUUUGUCGCGUCUGCUGUGAAAACUCGGGGCUUAACCCUGGGCCUGCAGUGGGUACGGGCAGACUAGAGUGCGGUAGGGGAGACUGGAAUUCCUGGUGUAGCGGUGAAAUGCGUAGAUAUCGAGAGGAACACCUGCGGCGAAGGCGGGUUGCUGGGCCGACACUGACGCUGAGGCGCGAAAGCUAGGGGAGCGAACGGG